CCCUCAGGCCCGGGAGUCAAAGUCUACAUUCUUCCAGGGUAUCAGACCCACUGAAUUAGGAUGACUUGAAGCCCCUGCCCACUUUGAACCCCAGUGAUCCCAGGUCCCUUCAGAUCCCAGGACUAAGGGGUAGUAGCCAUGUGGACCUGGAGGCCACCCACCCCAGUCAUCAGUGGACACUGUCCACAUGAACACUUCUCCUGUGCUCCUGCCCAAGGCCAGCAGGAGUGAGCAGGUCCGGCUGUGGCCAGCAGGGUGCCCUCUACCCAAUGUUCAUGGACUUCACAGGCCUCUUUCCCCGGCCCUGGAGGAAGACAGCUGGGUCCCGAGGCUGGGAGACAACAGCCUAGCCUGCUCCUGCCUGUGAGCUGCAUGAGCUGCCACCAACCAGUGAGAAUGGAUGUGAGUGGCAGCGGUGACUGGUCAGUAGACUUCCUGCACUCUGCUGGUUGACGUCAAAUCAGCAAAAAUGGACUGUUUCAGUCUUGCCUGGAGCGUCUGUGUGGUUCUGACAAUGCGAAUCCGCCUCCAUCUCCAACCCAGACCUCCCGUCCCGGUCUCCUUCCCGCCAAUUACCUCCCCGCACCCGAUACCGCCCACCAAAGCUCUGUACUCCUUAUCCAACGCGGUCCCCCCCGUGCUCCUCCGCGCCUCCCCGCAGCGGAACCCCCGUGCCGAGGAGCCGCGCCAGGCCGGACGGGCUGCGCCGAGUGGUCCUCCCGGAAGUGCGCCUCCCCGCGGGGGCUCUCCAGCCCCACGGCGCGUGGGCGCCGCGGACCCACCUGCCCCAGUGCGGCUCCCGCCAUGGUCGGUGUGGCGGGGAACUGUGCCCGCUCCAGAUUAAGGCGUCCGGCCCCGCCCGGUCCACGCCCCCUCGCACUGAAGGCCCCAAGAUUCCAUUAUUACCGGGUGCCCUCGAGGAGAGGAGUCUGCUGCAGAGCGCAUGCGCUAGAACGCACCCCCGGACUGAGAGCGAAUGGGAAGACUCCCUCCUCCCAGCCCCCUGCGGGGUCUGUUCCAGUCCCGCUGCAGCCGUUCAAGAGCUUGCAUGCAGCGUUUUCAAAGAUGCAUUUUAAUAGGUUCUGCCACAUAGCGGAAGUGAGGAGAAGCAGCCCCUAAUGAAAUCGCCCAACUCGGCCGUUUCUGCUGCCCGUCACUAUCAGAACCAAUAAGGAGAGACAAGGAUUGAAUUUUCAUGGGCGCUUUAUUCAGAUGCUGGCGGUCUGAGAAGACGGCGGGUUGUGUACCCUAAAAUCCGUCUUAACAUCCCAUCUCAAACCAGCCUUUUUUAUUAUUAUUAGGAGGAGGAAGGGUAGGUGAGGGGUUUGGGGGAAAAGUUUAAUUGGAGAAGGGUUGCAGAGGGGCAAGGGGGCGGAGGGGCGAUCUUCCCAGUACUUCUUUGUCUGUGGAUCAACAGUUCCUCUGUGUCCUGGACACGGCCUCCCUGGAACACCGUGGCAUCAGGCCCCCUGGGGCACAAAGUUUGAAUUGCUUGUCAGCCUCCUGGAGUCAGCAGGUCAUGUAUUGCAAUUCCUGGAAUAACAGCUUUCCUCAAGCAUCGGUCACUGGAGCCUGCCAGCUAACUAACGCUAAAAUCUUUAACACUUGAGUUCCCGGAUCAGUAAGAGAAGAAAGGCCAGCACCUUUGCAGAUCUCCAUCCUUUCCUUGGUGAAAGGGAAAAGCACACUCUACGUGUCGGUGGGUGAGUAUCACAGCCUAAUUGACUCUCCCCUGCGAACCUUUUAACUGGGUCACUGGUGAAGCCAACCUGCAACACUUUUCCCUGGGGCCCCAGGCGAGAAGCUCCUGCUGCAAGGUCUGCUGGGAGUUGCAGUCCCUCGGGUGGAGGCCAAGCUUAGGGCUAGAGUGGGGGGCAUGCGGUGGCAGUGUGGACCGAAAAUAAAUGUAAUGAUGACUUCCU